rnacentral:rRNA from 1 species
GAGUGGCGUAAGGGUGAGUAAUGCAUUGAUAACCUACCUCCAAGAUGGGAAUAACAACGUUCCAAGCAAUUGGGGCUACCGAAAGGGUUGCUAAUACUCAAUAAAAUUAUUGUUGCUUCGGCAAUAAUAGUCAAAUAGGAGGAAUCGAAAGGUUCCGCUUGCUUGAAGAGGGGUCAAUGUCCUAUCAGCUAGUUGGUGGGGUAAUAGCCUACCAAGGCGAAGACGGGUAGCCGGCCUGAGAGGGUGGUCGGCCACACUGGGACUGAGACACUGCCCAGACUCCUACGGGAGGCUGCAGUCGAGAAUCUUUCGCAAUGCCCGAAAGGGUGACGAAGCGACGCCGCGUGCGGGAAGAAGGCCUUCGGGUUGUAAACCGCUGUCGGGAGUUAAGAAAUGCAAGGGUGUUAACAGCGUCCUUGCUUGACUAAGGCUCCGGAGGAAGCCACGGCUAACUCUGUG